GAUGAACGCUGGCGGCGUGCCUAAUACAUGCAAGUCGAGCGAACGGACGAGAAGCCUGCUUUUCUGAUGUUAGCGGCGGACGGGUGAGUAACACGUGGAUAACCUACCUAUAAGACUGGGAUAACUUCGGGAAACCGGAGCUAAUACCGGAUAAUAUUUUGAACCGCAUGGUUCAAAAGUGAAAGACGGUCUUGCUGUCACUUAUAGAUGGAUCCGCGCUGCAUUAGCUAGUUGGUAAGGUAACGGCUUACCAAGGCAACGAUGCAUAGCCGACCUGAGAGGGUGAUCGGCCACACUGGAACUGAGACACGGUCCAGACUCCUACGGGAGGCAGCAGUAGGGAAUCUUCCGCAAAGGGCGAAAGCCUGACGGAGCAACGCCGCGUGAGUGAUGAAGGUCUUCGGAUCGUAAAACUCUGUUAUUAGGGAAGAACAUAUGUGUAAGUAACUGUGCACAUCUUGACGGUACCUAAUCAGAAAGCCACGGCUAACUACGUG
rnacentral:rRNA from 1 species